UUCACCCCAAGCACUUAGACCUCACAACAUCACUUUUGUUAAUUUGCGAGAAAAUUCCAACCCAUUCCAAUUUCAUUUCCCCGCCUUUUGUUCACACCCUUCUUGGUUCUCGCUGCUUUGCUGCCCCAACAACGCCACCUGCGUUUCUUCCUCGUCUCCAUAAGAAAAGCAACCGCCUCAUCUCCUCCCCUCUCCUACGCGCACUGCCGCCGUCUCUGGCUCUCCUCCCAAUGUCCACUCAAGGGUUCUUCAUCGAUCUCAAAACUCGUCAGGUUCAAUGGCGAUGCAAGCUGGAUUAGGGCGUAUCUCGACUUCUCUUGUUAGUCGAAGCUGUUUAUACCGGCAUUGUUCUUGUCAAAAAACGGCAAUAAUUUGCGGUCUGGAAGGCUGGAAGAGCAGAUUGAGGUUAUUCAGCUUAAGCUAAAGAGACUUGAAGAAGGCAAUACUUUAGGGGGAAGGAGAGUGAAAGUGGCAAAGUCACAGGGCAAGAAGAUUCACAUAACAGUUGAGCAAGAAUAUGCAAGCGACACGAUUCAACUUGGAGCUAGUGAGAAGUGUAGCGAUCAAAAUUAAUAGCCCCCGUUGAUAUUGAAAUUCAUGAACAACCCAAGGGAGCAUUCCUUCACGACUGAUGAAAUAAAAUGUGUUCGAGACAAGUUGACACGAUUUAUUACUAUUAAAUGUGUUUGAUUGUUCGCGUUUUUAGCAUUAUAAUGAAUCUAAUAAUGUAGUUAGCUACCUUUUUCCAUUAAUCAAUUUAGAUAGAAUAUGUUUUAACC